rnacentral:misc_RNA from 1 species
UCGGUUCCGAGGCUUUUCCGCAGCCAGGCAUUGUCCUAGCAGAACCACAAAAAUCGCUGCACAGACUGUCAGUGCGUCUUAAAUGCCGCACUGAUGUAGCAACGCGGCUACCUUUGAGAAGGUCAACGUACGAUCAAAGGGUUUUUGCGCGUUCGCAAAGGCGACCCUGAACCAAAUCUGCUUUCUCCAUCAACGGGGGCUGAAAAGCCUAGCAAGAUGGGGAGUUUGAGAUGGGGC